AUUGAACGCUGGCGGCAGGCCUAACACAUGCAAGUCGAACGGUAACAGGAAGAAGCUUGCUUCUUUGCUGACGAGUGGCGGACGGGUGAGUAAUGUCUGGGAAACUGCCUGAUGGAGGGGGAUAACUACUGGAAACGGUAGCUAAUACCGCAUAACGUCGCAAGACCAAAAAGGGGGACCUUCGGGCCUCUUGCCAUCGGAUGUGCCCAGAUGGGAUUAGCUAGUAGGUGGGGUAACGGCUCACCUAGGCGACGAUCCCUAGCUGGUCUGAGAGGGUGACCGGCCACACUGGAACUGAGACACGGUCCAGACUCCUACGGGAGGCAGCAGUGGGGAAUAUUGCACAAUGGGCGCAAGCCUGAUGCAGCCAUGCCGCGUGUAUGAAGAAGGCCUUCGGGUUGUAAAGUACUUUCAGCGGGGAGGAAGGGAGUUAAGUUAAUACCUGUGCUCAUUGACGGUACCCGCAGAAGAAGCACCGGCUAACUCCGUG
rnacentral:rRNA from 1 species